rnacentral:lncRNA from 1 species
AGUACACAGCCCAUUGUAUUCCUGCCCCUCUAAUGAGUGAGGCUGCCAUGAACAUGGCUAGUGUCCUGGGGUCACUUUCCAAACACUUUAGAGCCUCCAUCACAGCCCAGCUCGGCGUGCGAGUGGCACGCAUGGGACAGCACGCCCGUGACAGCACGCACGUGAGUCAAACAGGAAUUCCUUUUGGUGAAGGCUAAGUGUUGAAAACUUCUUCGGUUCAUUCAUAACAAAGAAGAAAGUGAGGAUACAACACACACAACCGCCUCCACUGCUGUCGCAUCUCCUCUCAUCCAAUAUCAUCUCCAGCCAGGACCUAGAACUGCACUUUAAUCUGCCGUUGUACUUAAAGAGAACUUUGGCGCCCCAUGUUCAUUGCAGCACUAUUCACAAUGGCCAAGACACGAACAACCUAAAUGUCCAUCGACAGAUGAAUGGAUUAAGAUGUGGUGCAUAUACACAAUGGAAUACAUCUCAGCCAAACAAUAACUAAAUAGUACCAUUUGUGGCAACAUGGAUGCAACUAGAGAUUCUCAUACUAAGUGAAGUAAGUCAGAGGAAGACAAACACCAUAGGAUAUCACUUAUGUGUGGAAUCAAAAAUAUGGGGCAAAUGAUCCUAUCCACAAAACAGACACAGAUCACACGGAUGUGGAGAGCAGACGUGGCUGCCAGGGGGAGGGGGAAAGAGUAGGUGGACAGGGAGUGUGGGGUUGGUAGAUGCAAACUGUGGCAUUUAGAAUGGAGAAGCAAUGAGGUCCUGCUGUACAGCACAGGGAACUCUGUCCAGUCUCCUGGGGUAGAACAUGAUGGAGGAGGGUAGGAGAAAAAGAAUGUGUAUGCAUGUGUGACGGGGUCACUAGGCUGCACAGAAGGUGGUAAAUAAACUAGACUCUGAUAAAAAAUAGAGCUCAUGUUAGAGUCCCACAGAAAUUGUUUUGUUAAACGAGAAAAGUAACCCGGGCCCUUUUCGGUUAAAAUGUUCCUCUUUUUUCUAGAUCUUCAGCAGUAUUUUGGGGUUUAAAGGAAGCGAGUCUCAUCCUUAAAUGAAAAUAUAAAUCUUCCAUUGGCUCCAGACAUGGCUUUGCCUUGUGGCUGAAUUUCGCAAACGAUCAAAAACAGAGCGGCCCUCCUGCAUUACUCAAGUGCUCAAAUUCUUCUGUUCGACGUCCAGUCUUUCAUGCUCACGGUCGAGACGGGCUUUGCCGGGAGGGAAAGGGACUCUGUUUUCUUCUUUCCAGGAUGUCACUGACUUUAAACCCACCACAGGUGUAAUCACAUCUGUAAGCAUCCAAGGUGAGCAAACACCAGAGACGCAUUUCCUACAUGUUAAACUUUCUGAUUUAGAAGGCAGUAUAUGCUCAAAAUAUAUAUAUUCAUCACACCUAGAUCAUAAAAUGCAUUCCCAAUCCCAGGAAUGUGAACAUGUGAAAAAGACACCUCUUAGUCUUGAGAAAGUUCCUGUUUACUUUCACCUUUUCUUAGCUUGUUCAUUCAGUGUUGCCCCUUCUCUCAUCCCAGUCUGUGCUAUUGAGUAAAUUGCAAAAAUUCUCUUCUUUCCUGUGUGCAAGCAAUUGGAGUAGUUCUUAUUUGGUUGUUUGUUUGGAAGGCUUAAGAAUCAGAAGUCAUCUCUGGGAAAAAACUUUCUACUGUAAAGUAGGACUAAUAAAGUGACUGUGGGAAAAAGCCAAUUAUGCUGGGAUCACCUGGUUGCAAAGGUAAUUUGUACUAAAAAGCUGAGAGAUCAUUACUUGAAUCCCAGCAAUAAAGGACCCAAGAGAGAAGGAAACAGAUGACUUUGCUUAGGUAACUAAAAUAAAGAUUAUUGGACUAUGAUAAUCACUUAUGUAUAGAAUCUAAAAGAAAAUGAUACAGGAAUUCUCUUCAUGGCUCAGCAGUUACUAAACCAGACUAGGAUCCAUGAGGAUGCGUGUUUGAUCCCUGACCUCACUCUGUGGGUUAAAGAUCUGGCGUUGCCAUGAGCUGUGGUGUAGGCUGUAGAUGCGGCUUGGAUCCCGCAUGGCUGUGGCUGUGGCGUAGGCCAGCAGCUGUAGCUCUGAUUUGACCUCUAGCCUGGGAACCUCCAUAUGCUGCAGGUGAGGCCCUAAAAAAGCAAAUAAAUAAAUAAAUAAAUAACAAUUUUUAAAAAUAAAAAUAAAUGGCACAAAUGAACUUACAAAACAGAAACAGACUCACAGACAUAGAGAACAAACUUAUGGUAACCAAAGGGGAAGGAGGGGCAGAGGGAUAAGUUAGGAGAAUGGGAACCAACAGACACACACUGCUGUGUAUAAAAUAGAUAAAGAGCAAGGACCUUUGUAUAGCACAGGGAAGUAUAGUCAAUAUUUCAUAGCCCCUAAUGGAAGAGAAUCUGAAAAAGAAUAUAUAUGUGAAUCAAUAUGCUCUACAUUUGAAAAUAGCAUACCAUUGUAAUUUAACUAUAUUUCAUAAAAACAUUGUCGGGUUAAUCUGAGCAAGGCUCUAUUCACUGAGUAAUUUGCAUAUGUAUAAAUAAUCUGCUGGGACUGUGUCACAUUUAUGAUUGCUGGCUGAGUAUUCUGUUAUCCAACACUCUUUCCCACCUUAGCCUCUGUGAACUUCCUUGACCUGCCUAAUCAGAAGCCUGAGCACCAUUGUCUGUGCUGUCUCACUGAGGCCCACGUGCGGUCACUCGACUCGAUCUGGCACCCACCUGUCGCAUACGGUCCUCUCUGUCUUCUGUUCUCCCAGGGGAACACUCUUGGUUCAGGCCUGGGUUGUGUCUUGCCAGGAUUGUUCUGACCAUUUUCGAAUAUGCUUCCUUGUCUCCAAAUGCUAUUUAAUGCAUCCUUCUAGGGAAACCUCAUUGCACAUGGAUGACUGGAUAGUUCAGAGGCCAGGCUGCUCAUCAAUCCCACACACAGAACUCUUCUGUUAAAGAAUGAAGAUGGCCAUUUCAGGCACAGGUGUUCCUCAACACAAUAUGUCAAAGAAUGGAAACAUUUUUGAAGAAAAUUUACCCUAAAAAUGGCUACCUAAGAAAGAGCUAAGCCUGCAAUUAUAGUAACCCACCACUAGCUGGCAGUAGUGCUGAAUCACCACCUGGCAGAGGUUUUAAGCAGAAAUCUCCAUUUGCCAGUGUCUCCCGCUUAGCAACAGCCAACAUGAUUCAGUAAUUUUUCAAAUCUCUUCAUUUCAAAAAAGUUCUUCAGGAUAUUUUUCCUAGUUGAAAAAUUAUAACCCAUGUUCUUUAUAAGCCUUUGAAAGAAAAUCUUAAAAUUUUCCUGUGAUAUCACCUCUGAGAAAUCUUCAUUUUAUAUAUUCCCUUGCAGAUUUUUUUCCUUCGUAUAUGUGUUUUCAUAGUUAGGAUGUACGUGAGUGUGCAUUCGUACAUGUCGAUUUAUACAUACACGUGCGUGUCUGCCUACCUACAUGUGCACAGAUUUAUAUAAACACUCCUCACUUUACUCCCAUGCUCAGCGUAGUCCUUGGCACAUAGUAGGUUAAUAUAAGCAUCAGUUAAAUAGUUAAUAAGUGAAUACAUUGGUAGAUUCAGCAACCUACCAAAGUACAGCAAAGAAAGAAAGAGGAAAAGAAUUUGCUCGAGAGUAGAAAAGAAGCCACAGAUUCUUUUUGCCCCUUGGGACAUCAGACAUAGGCUGUUUUCCUAUAGGUUUUUACCCUCAUUGUGCUUCUUCAAGAGAGAAGAACUCAAGAGAAAAAAUGUGCAGGUACAGGUUUGGGAGGGCAGUCGUCAGUUUUUGAACCUAUGAAAUCAUCAUGCAUCUUCCUUACCUGGGAAACGAACACCCCUUUAUUAACGGGAAGGGCACGAUCACUACACUCAAAUAAUAACUAGGGGAUAGAAUGCAGCUCAGGCCAUGAGUCCCUCUUCCUCGAACUCUGAAGAUGAGGUGGUAGAGGCAGAAAGCCUCUUGGUGAUCGGAGGUCAGCCUUGAGGUCAAAGCUUCCAGAGGCCAGACCGUAAUUCCCUGUGUGGGAGGGGCUGGGGGCAAAGGAAGAGACACCCAGCCUCUCCAGAGACAGAAACCAGAGGGUGGGGAAGACAUCCUCCCUCUGCCACCCGGUCCUGCCCUAAGCAGGUGUGUCCGUUUACCUAAGCAUUCUCCUUGUUCUGUCCUCCUGUAAUUAUUAUCGCACAGUUUAUAUUUUUGUCUGAGGGUGUCCCUGUCAAUGGAAUCUUGUACAAAUGUUUUUCCAGUUAUUUAUUACUAAUACAAAUUAAAGAAAGACUUCGGGGUCUGCCAGUUACCAAACUCUCUGAUUGUAAUAGUUUCUACACUCAGUAUUCUCACAUUUCUUAAAUUUUUUGUCUUUUUUUUUUUUUUAGGGCCAUACCCAUGGCACAUGGAAGUUUCCAAGUUAGGGGUCGAGUUGGAGCUGUAGCUGCCAGCCUGCACCACAGCCACAGCAAUGCAGGAUCCAAGAUGCGUCUGCCACCUACACUUCAGCUCAUGGCAAUGCCAGAUCCUUAACCCACUGGAUGGGGCCAGGGAUCAAACCCACGUCCUCGCGGAUCCUCCUUGGGUUUGUUACCACUGAGUCGUGAUGGCAACUGCCAUAUUUUCUUGAUAUAUGUUAUACCAUCCACAAAUAUUUUUCUACUCUCGGAUAUUUGAAUCCAUUAUUUCUGUUUUAUUUGUUGCUUUACUGGUUACAAAUUCUAUCUGAUGUUAAAUAAUAAGUACAUUAAUCUUUUUUACUUUGUUAAUGAGGUCAUUUCUAAUGGAUCACUCAAAUAUUAUAUUGGCUGCCGCCAUUAUUUAUAUAUGUCAUGUUGAAAACAUCCUUCUAUUCUUAAUGUACCAACAUUUAAAAAGAUUAGAUAUUAAAGCAAUAUUGUAUAUGAUUUUUAACUUCUAUUUUAGCUUUACUUCUUACAUGCAUCUGACUGAGUGAUAUAUUUAUUAUAUCAUAUUAGAGAAUUUACUGACAUUACGCCAUUCUGAUAUUUCUGUGAAGAAAACACUGCAUUUGGCGUUUAUUCUAGUAAACAACUAAUAGCAGCUUAAACUUUUGCACUUGCCUGGGAAAGUGAUAUCAUUUUAUACAUGCUUCUUUGUGCUUUUUAAAAAUAUUUUAUUGUCCUGGCUGUCCUGGCUUCAUGCUGUGAACAGAGUUUCCAGCUUCUUCUUUGUUCUAAAACAGAUUAUACGAUAUUGGAAUAACAAUUAUUUUACAGUUUGAAAAAAAUUGCCUGCACUAUCAUACAUCCAUAGCCAAGUCUGGGGUGGAAAUUCUUUGAUAAAAUUUCCUGCUUCGUCCUUCCCUGUUGCGUCAAACGGGAUUGCUGCUCCUUGUCCCGUCAAAGCCAGUGACAGGCUUUCUUAGGAGGUUUCUUUCUACUUAAUUUCUAAAUGUAUUAGUAAAUGCCUCUGUAUAAAAGCACAUUUUUAAUUGUCAUUUUUAAUUUCCUCUAAAAGGAUCUUUAUCUUCCUCGUAUCCUGUAUAUUUUUCUUUCGUGUGUCUUGCUAUUUUCCUCUCCUUUGCUUUUUCUGAAUUGUUUCUUUUUUAGUUUCAAGGAUUCCGCUAUUGAAUUCAUCAGUCUACCGCUUGCUGUUGGGUUUAUUUUGAAAACGUCGUCUGCUUUUGCCCUUUAAUUGAACCCUCUCGUUUUAGCAAACUGGGUAACUUAACAGACUACCCUCAAAAACUGAUCGAUUAAUCAGAGAAGAAGUAAGGCGGGAUAUCCAAGUCCUACGCAGAUACAGUGGGUAUUCUCUACGGGAUUUGCACAGCACUUUACAUCAAAGAAACAGGGAGCAAGACUUCUUCGCAAGCUCAUGGACGACGUUCUGAGAGCAGACUGCACCUUCCAAGUCCAUAAAAGGAGCCUCCUCACAUUUCAAAGGUCAAGGUGUUGACUAGUGUUCCUGCUUUGGCACAGCCGAUCGGUGGCAUCUUGGAAGCGCUGGGAUGCAGGUUCAGUCCCUGGCCUGGCACAGUGGGUUAAGGAUCGGUGUAGCCGCCCCUGCGGCUUGGGUAUCAACUGCGACUUGAAUUUGAUCCCUGGCCCGGGAGCUCCCUAUGCGGCGGAGUGGCAAAAAAAGAUGUUGACUAGUGGCCGACUCUCGUGCUCUUGAAAUCCAGCGACACACUCGUUCCCUCGGGAAGAACACACUCACUAUCUGCUUAAUGAGGGAAGCCGAGGACCCAUCCGAUGACUAGGUCAACCUGCAAGUCAGGAUGCUUGGGUAACGUCCAUUUCCUCCAGCGCACGCUUCUCGUCUGCAAAACAGAAACGUGACGACUGUGGUUUGCCCGAGACUGUCCCCGUUAAGGACUGCUGUUCCUGCCUCCCCUUCAGAAAACAGGUUUAGAGCUUUCACUUCUUAUGAAAGCAAUGUCCCUAUUUUUGGUUUGUUUGCUCAGUGUUUGCUUUUUAGGGCCACAGCCUCGGCAUAUGGAGGUUCCCUGAUGGGGUUCGAAUCUGAGCGGCAGCUGCCGGCCUACAGCACAGCCACAGCAACUCUAGAUCCUUAACCCACUGAGUGAGGAUAGGGAUCCAACCUGCAUCCUCAUGGAUGCUAGUCGGACUCGUUUCUGCUGUGCCACCAGGGAAACUCCCAAAGCAAUAUCACUAUUAAUAGUUGAUUUAAAGGAGUUCUUGUCCUGGCUCAGCGGUAACGAAUCUGACUAGUAUCCAUGAGGAAGCAGGCUUGAUCCCUGGCCUUGCUCAGUGGGUUAAGGAUCCAGCCUUGCAGUGAGCUGUGUUGUAAGUCACAGAUGACUCUCUGAUCCUACAUUGCUGUGGCUGUGGUGUAGACCAGUGGCUGCAGCUCUG